rnacentral:RNase_P_RNA from 1 species
AGAUGUGGAGGGAAGCUCAGUGCUGAGGCUACAACCUGAGUGCAUUUGUCACUCUCAUACAUUCCUCAGGGAAGGUCUGAGAUUAGAGCCAUCUAUUGUCUUAACAAGGCAUUGCUUGGUUUGAGCAAAUGAGUUACCAUCAAACCUUGUUCUGUUGUCGCUAGACUGCACAAGUAAUAGAAGUGGUUUUCCUCUAUGGAUGCUGAGGCAACUGAUUUGGAAAGUGACUCAUGACUAGCAAAUUCAAGUUCAAUUGCUGAGAGGAAGUCAUUACUUCCUAACCCAAUUCAGACCACUCUCCGGAAUUCCG